AGUUCAGGGGUAGAACACUUGCCUAGAAUGCAUAAGGCCCUGGGUUCAAAUCCCAG
rnacentral:tRNA from 1 species